rnacentral:misc_RNA from 1 species
CAGAGAUCAUGCCCUUAUGGGUAGACCUCCCACCCUGUGUUAUUUACCUCUGUUGCUUUGGCAGGCCGCCUAUAGGCUCUCGGCUUAUGCUGAGAUGUGCCUGCCAGAGGACAUCAAACUCUGUGUUUAGUGUUGUCUGAGUACUAUAUAAUAAAGUUA